GACGCUGUUUGGAACGGGACCGAGUGAGGCCGGAGACCGGGAGCUGCGCCUCGGGUUUCGGCUGCACCACCGGCGGGUCGUGAAUCCUUUCGAAGGCAGAGCUGAAGAGACCGGCGGAGAUUCCGUGAGAUGUUUCAGCUGCACGGCGGGCGCACGGCCUCUCCCCGUCGAGGAUCGGGGCCUGUUGUCUGGAGUUGUCUCCCAGACCCGUCCCGUCCUGCUGGGAGACGGGAGCUGCCCCGCAGCGGCUGCCGGUGGAUCUCCGGAGCUCUCACCGCUCCCCUGUGCAAUCCGAACGGCUGAAAACCAAGGGAGAACAAGGCGCAAAGGGGCAAGACCAGAACAUGUGGGUCAAUGAAGCGACUUCAGAAUGACAUCUGUGACAGGCUGGAUUAACAUAAGAAUAAAAUAGAGCGAGUUUAUACUUGGACAUGUGAGCCCUAUGAACAACCUGAAAUUGUAUUAGGCAUGUUUAGCACAAAUAGAAGAAAAAUUGAUUAAUUGUAAAAUGUUCUCCCACUGCCCUGUGGGUAUAAGAAAAUGAAGUUCUUUUUCCCAUUCCUUCUUAAUUUUUUCUCAUAGUCCUGGCUGUAUUUUUAUGAUUGUAUUAUAAAUGAUGGCUACUAAACCCUUCUGGCAAGGA